rnacentral:lncRNA from 1 species
UAUAGAAGUAAACUAAUGGAGUAAGGUUUGUUUGUAGAUUCCUCUGGUGCCAUAUCUGAGCUGAUAAGAGUUUUCUCCAGUAAAGGAGAAUUUAUAUUCCAUCUGUCUGUAGAAAAGAAGGGAGGACAGAAAGCAUUCUUCCUUUGUUUGCUGCUGCCUAGCUGUCUUUAGCUCAAUAAUAUUUAUGUCAAAGAGACCUAUUUGGCAUGACAUAUUCUGGUGUCUGUCAGUAGGAAGGCAGAUGCCACUGCCACAGUGGGAUGGCAGAAGAAAACUGACAGAAGUGCAUGGAAGGCUGUUGUCCCAUUGUCAGUGAUAGGCCUGGGGACACUAGUGAUUAGAGGGUCAGGAGUUGGGAAGAAGACCUGGAAGCAAAGCAAGGGAAAGUGAGGAUGACCUAGAGCCCACAUCUGUCAUUUACCUCCUGAAGUAGGGAACAAUAGAAGGAAAACUCUAAAUAUUCAGAAAAAGGCAGGAAACAGAAAAAUCGAGCCUGAGGCAGACAGCAGAGGAGCGAGGUCAGUAGGGAAGGAAGAGGAAGCAUUCUUGUCA